rnacentral:lncRNA from 1 species
UGGAUGUGCCAUAAUCUAGCUGUUACUAUGAGUGUAUUUUUGCCAUUUUAAAUUAUGUAAAAUAAAAAAAUACAUUUAAUAGGAUUCGAGCACAAAAAUCAUAAUUUUCAAUGUCUUAUCUUUACACUUUCAACCAAAAAUUCAAUUGUUUUAAUUAUCGACCAAAACGUCUUCGCUGCUACUCAAAAUUUGAUCCAAUUUAGCACCAGAGCAAAAGAGAUAAUGAAUGAUCCGCCCCACCACUAGUUUCCUACAACCUUAUCUUAGACAGUCAUCGAUUCAUGUUUGUCAGAGGCGAUACCUGGAACCUCCUCUAUCCAGAACUCAGAACACUGUCGCCUAAGACCCUCCUGGGCCAGCAAGUGAGCCACUUAAUUUGUUUCCCUCUUGUGCUGCAUGUAACAGCUCAACCUAAAUCCUGCUCCAAUUUGCUUUCCAUCUUUAAUCAGCGCGCUCACACAUGGUCUGUCCUCUCCAUCUCGAAAUCCCAGUUCUUCAGCAAAGCGUAGAGCUUGGACCGCUGCCAGCCCUUCUACCACAAAAUAAUCAGGUACAUGGUCAUUCACUUGAAACCACGCUGCCAAAAUCUCUCCUGUAUCUCGAAUGAUUAUUCCUGAACUGGACUUUUGUCUAUCUUUUUGAAAUGCUGCAUCGAAAUUGAUUUUGACGCACGGAUCCGCUGGUGGUUUCCAUGUUACUGACCGAGUUCUUAUUACAAGCGUUUGGUCCUGGCCAAUCAUAUGCAGUUCUGCUACAUGCGCUCUCACAAAGGUAACAACGACUCCAUAUAAUUGGGUAAUAGAUUCAUGAACUAAUUUGUUUCUAGAAUUCCACAGUGCCCAUAUUAUAACACAGAGGUACUGUUUAAUGUUGGACCCCCUCCACUGUAAAAGAUAGCUCUACCAAUCAACUAACUCGCUAUCGUCCAUCUGUGCAGGCCAAGAAAUACUCAAUUCCUCCCAUACAUUGCGAGUGAAACAACAAUUCCACACUACAUGCACACUUGACUCAGGAGUCAGGACAUAGGUGGCAUCUUGGACAUAGCGGGCUUGAAGCAAUCCUUAGAUUGUAUAAGUUAUCCAUAAUCGGAAUAAAAUUCCUAAGAAGUCUCCAGCAAGUAAUCUUUAUUUUUGGUGGGAUUUGUAUUGCCCUUAAGGCCUUGUAAUUGAAAUUCAUACGCCGGUCCUGUAGAGUAGAAGCAAUAGGAUCAAAAUUAUCUGAUGCAAUCAACUUGUAGCUACUCCAUACCGAGUAGAUUCCAGUGUUUGUCCCCACUCCAUACUUGCACAUCUUCCAGCCCUGAUGCAGCAACUGAAAUGCAUAAUACUCUCUUGACCUCUUCCUUCGAAAAUAGACUUCACACCAACAGUAUAUUCCAUCUCCCCUCAUUAGGGACUAUUAAAUCAGAAACCAUAUUGAACUCAUUACUAAUCUGAUCAGAUUGAAUUCUGCAGUUUCCUACUCCUGGGAGCCAGCAAUCAUUCAAAAUUGAGAUGGAGCGUCCAUCACCAACCUUCCAUCGGAGCCCCACCUCUAAUACCCUCUGAGCGCUCCAAAUACUCCACCAAGUAUAAGUAGAGUUCACACCCAUCUCUGCCCUUAGAAAAUCUUUAGAGGAGUAAUAUUUAGCUUUUAAAAUGAGUGCCACUAAAGAGUUAGGAUUAGUCAAGAGCCUCCACCUCUGCUUGGCCAACAUGGCAAUAUUAAACUUCCCCCAAUUUUGAAAUCCCAUAACUCCCGUUCCCUUUGAUGCACAAAGCUGAGCCCAUGAGCACCAAUGCAUGCUCUUUUUAUGACUAGAUUUAGCCCACCUAAAACGGCUCAAAAUUCUUUCCAUCUCUCGGUAGAGCAAAAUCGGUAACAGAAAACAAGUCAUAACAUACGUGGGAAUGGACUGCAAAACUGACUUUAUAAAUACUCCCUUACCUCCUUGGGGUAACAGCCUGCCACUCCAACUCUCCACUUUGCUGCGCAUGCACUCCUUCAAUCUUUGAAACGCCUCCCUUCUCUGCCUCCCAACCGUCGAGGAUAACGCUCCAGUAUGAACCUGAAAAAUAAUUUUAUCUGAAGCCGAAGGUCAUCGGUAACAUUCACUCAAAUAAAUAAGGCUUUUAUCAAAAUUCACACUUUGACCUGAACAACGUUGAUAAUCUUCUAUGAUAUCCUUAAGAUUCGAUGCCCUUAUCACCGUAGCCUUAUAAAACUCGUAUGCAAAAAGCGAGUUAACCUUGGUCCACCAUGACAAACACGAGUACCCAUGAUUCUUCCUUCCUCUUUCCCUAAAUUGAAAGACAUAGAGAACCCUUCACUACAAACCAAAAAUAAAUAAAGACUCGAUGGGGACUCAACGGGUCUUCCUGUCAAAGACCUCUUGUAGGUAAGAACAUCUCCCCCCUCUUUCCAUUAAGAACAACCGAGUAUGUCACCGUAAUAGUGCAAUGCAUUAUUACAUCAACAACGGAAUCAAGAAACCCCACUUGGUGCAACAUUGCCUCCACAAAAGAUCAUUCCACCAGAUCAUAUGCUUUGCAUGUGUCUAAUUUCAAGGUAAAGGUAGAUUCUCUUUUUUCUAUAAGAGUCUAGCAUCUCAAACAAUUAAAAUAUUAUCCAAGAUUACUCUCCCAGGGAUGAAAGCACUCUAUACACCCAAUCAAUACAUUACGGAAGAACACCUUGUAAUCUAUUGGCGAUAACCUUAAAAAUAAUUUUAUGAAGGAUAUUACAAGUCGGAAUUGGGUCAUAAUUCACGGACAAGAAAUUUUAAGGAUCAAUACAAUGUUCAUAUAGUUUAUGUGUUAGCAAUUUUGGUUUAAAAAACAGUUUUUAGUCAUAGAAGAAGUUUAAAAUUUUUGAAAUUUGAG